AGUGAACGCUGGCGGUAGGCCUAACACAUGCAAGUCGAACGGCAGCACAGUAAGAGCUUGCUCUUACGGGUGGCGAGUGGCGGACGGGUGAGGAAUACAUCGGAAUCUACUUUUUCGUGGGGGAUAACGUAGGGAAACUUACGCUAAUACCGCAUACGACCUACGGGUGAAAGCAGGGGAUCUUCGGACCUUGCGCGAUUGAAUGAGCCGAUGUCGGAUUAGCUAGUUGGCGGGGUAAAGGCCCACCAAGGCGACGAUCCGUAGCUGGUCUGAGAGGAUGAUCAGCCACACUGGAACUGAGACACGGUCCAGACUCCUACGGGAGGCAGCAGUGGGGAAUAUUGGACAAUGGGCGCAAGCCUGAUCCAGCCAUACCGCGUGGGUGAAGAAGGCCUUCGGGUUGUAAAGCCCUUUUGUUGGGAAAGAAAAGAAGCAGGUUAAUACCCCGCUGCUCUGACGGUACCCAAAGAAUAAGCACCGGCUAACUUCGUG
rnacentral:rRNA from 1 species